AUUGAACGCUGGCGGCAGGCUUAACACAUGCAGGUCGAGCGGAGAUGAGGUGCUUGCACCUUACCUUAGCGGCGGGCGGGUGAGUAAUGCUUAGGAAUCUGCCUAUUAGUGGGGGACAACAUUCCGAAAGGAAUGCUAAUACCGCAUACGCCCUACGGGGGAAAGCAGGGGAUCUUCGGACCUUGCGCUAAUAGAUGAGCCUAAGUCGGAUUAGCUAGUUGGUGGGGUAAAGGCCUACCAAGGCGACGAUCUGUAGCGGGUCUGAGAGGAUGAUCCGCCACACUGGGACUGAGACACGGCCCAGACUCCUACGGGAGGCAGCAGUGGGGAAUAUUGGACAAUGGGCGGAAGCCUGAUCCAGCCAUGCCGCGUGUGUGAAGAAGGCCUUUUGGUUGUAAAGCACUUUAAGCGAGGAGGAGGCUACCUGGAUUAAUACUCUAGGAUAGUGGACGUUACUCGCAGAAUAAGCACCGGCUAACUCUGUGCCAGCCGCCGCCGUAACAC
rnacentral:rRNA from 1 species